rnacentral:SRP_RNA from 1 species
GCCGGGUGCGGUGGCGUGCACCUCAGCUACUCAGGAAGCUGAGGUGACAUCAUUUGCACCCAGGAGUUCUGGGCUGUAGUGCACCCGCAGUGCCCAUCAGGGGCCCACACAAUGUUCAGCAUCAAUACAGUAACCUCCUGGAAGCAGGGGAUCACCAGGUUGCCUCAGGGAGGGGUGAACCAGCCAAGGUUGAAAAUAGAACAGGUCAAAACUCCCACGCAGAUUAGUCAUGGGAUCGUGCCUGUGAAUAGCCACUGCACUCCAGCCUGGGCAACACAGUGCGACCCCGUCUUU